CCUACGGGGUGCAGCAGUGAGGAAUAUUGGUCAAUGGGCGGGAGCCUGAACCAGCCAAGUCGCGUGAGGGAAGACGGUCCUAUGGAUUGUAAACCUCUUUAGGCGGGGAGCAAUGCCGGGCACGCGUGCCCGGCGGGAGUGUCCCCGCAGAAUAAGCAUCGGCUAACUCCGUGCCAGCCGCCGCGGUAAUAAGGAGGAUGCGUGCGUUAUCCGGUAUUAUUGGGGUUAAAGGGUGAGUAGGCGGAUUAUUAAGUCAGCGGUAAAAUGUCCGGGCUCAACCCGGGCCGGCCGUUGGAACUGGUGAGCUUGAGUGGGCUAGAAGUAUGCGGAAUGGGUGGUGU
rnacentral:rRNA from 1 species